CUCACUCUCACCAGAGCCCUCCAACAGCACUGAGUGUAUUUCCAGGAAGCCUGUGACCAGGGCUGAGAAGUUGCCCCAGACCACGAGCCGCCCCAUUGAGAAAGCAAGCAGACUCACAGUUUUUUGGCACCUCAGGGAGCCUGCAGUGGUGAUCCAGUUCCUUCAAAGGGUCUGUGGAUUCUCUCAGCUUUCCUGUGAGGAUGCAGCCAGAACAUGCCAUUUAUGGACCAGGAAACCAGUCGUCACUAGAAAUUGAAUCUGCCACACCUUGAUCUUGGACUUCCCAGCCUCCAGAACUCCCCUGACAAAAACUAAAUAGAUCAUGGCAGAUGGUGACAAACUACCAUCAACUUAACCAGAUGAACUCGCCAAUCUAAGCUGAUGUGCCAGAUGUGAUACCUUUACUAGAGUGCCAAGCACAUUCGGAGAGCCAGGGUGUGCUUGUCGAAGAGAUAUUCUGCCGAGCCAGAUUCGGGCGCUCCCAUCUUGCGCAAGUUGGUCACGUGGUCACUCAAUUCUUUGAUGGCUUUCACCUGCUCAUUCAGG
ensembl:lncRNA novel transcript